rnacentral:lncRNA from 1 species
UUUUUAUUGACCAAAAUGGCAUAUCUUUCGUAGUCUUCAUUCCCCCAAUGGAAUUAGCACAACAAGGUACUAAUACCACCAUUAAAAGGGAAAAAACAAAAAGAAGAUGUGUCAAUGUACAAGUUACAUCAUAAUCUACAUUGUAUCUCUAACAAAUCUCAUAAAUCCAUCAAGGUUGGGAGGAGGUUGUGUUGGUGUACAAGUUACAUCAUAAUCUACAUUGUAUCUCUAACAAUCUCAUAAAUCCGUCAAGGUUGGGAGGAGGUUGUGUUGUUGGUGGUGGAAAUGAAGCUUGUUCAUCACCACUUCCGAGCGAAGCAGAAUCCUCCGAAAGUUCUGCUAUCAUUUCUUCAUAUGCUUCAUCUAUCGCCGGUUGUCAUACUGCAAUGCCAAAGUUUCUUCUUUCCGCGCGGAUCCAAUAUCUUAAAAGCACCAAUUUUCCAAGCUCUCCCUCAUCGCCGCUGUAUGAUCACCGAUUUGUAGUCUUUCUUGACUGAAAGCGCUCUCCGAUGCAACAGUUGAAUCUUGAAUUAAUAAAAAUUCCGAGCCACCCUUACAAGAACGGGAAAAUAUUUUUCCCUUGACUUCCACCAUUCCAAAAGAUCGAAAGACCUGUCUGGAUUAUCUUUUUCUAGUCCAUGUAACAAGUAAACUUGAAGCUCAUUUAGAUAUGAAAUUUCAUCAAAAUUAUCACCUUGAGAACCCCGGAACUCCGUCCAAGAUUUAAGAGAUGUNNN